CGCCGUUGAGAGAACGACUGCAAGUAGAGAGCGGCUGAGAAGUUGACGCCGAUUGUUUAACCCCUUUGUCUUGCUUCAGAAGUCAUCAAGUUUGAUAUGAAUGACUGGAUAUUUAAUAUCGAUGAUAUACUUUAUGUAUUUUCGAUGUCUUGAGUAUUUACUUGCUCCAAUGAUUGUUCAUCAUCGCUUUCUUCACUGGUGUUUUGCUGGUGCAAAAAUACUUUGAGAAAAAAAUAAACUUCAAUGAGAGAUUAAUUGGAGUAAAAUUAAUUUAUUGAUUUCGAUCAUCAUGAAUAUCUGGUACUGGUUCCGGAUGCUGGAAGUGCAGAAAUACGU